ACUCUCUCUCACAUUUCUCUGUUUCGGCUUCCGCCUUUCUUCUACAAGAACAAGAGUCCAACACUCUCCAACUCCUUGUUCGACUUCCGCCUCCAAGAGUCUAACUCCUUGCUCGACUUCCGCCUCCCUUUUCUGUCAAGACCAAACUACUCGACGCGACGAUUCUUGACUGGUUGUCUCACAAUCCUACUGAAAUUGAGAGCUACAUUAGGUCUGGUUGUGUUGUCUUAAAAGUAUAUAUGCGACUUCCCGAAAGUUGGAACUUGGAACUCUUUUGUGUAAUAUGUUAAAGAAUUUUUGUUGAUUCAGUUUAUUAGAUAAUUGUGGGGAUUUUGGUUUGUUUUAUUUUGAUAUGAAGAUUGUGUUUUGUUUA